rnacentral:lncRNA from 1 species
AGACACCCCAGAACCUGGGGAGGGACAGCCCAGGGCCAGGCUUCAUGCAGUGGCACAGAAGACCCACACCCCUGCAGACCCACACCCCUGCCCCAGUGAGCUCUGGGGUGCCAGACACUGGUUUCUAUCUCAUGGAGCUAUCAGAUGAGACGUCUCGAUCGGAGUCCUCAGUCUCACUCGGCGGUGGCGGCGGGUCGCUAAGCGGGACCGCAGUGAAAGCAGGAGACUUUCUAGAAAAAAACACCAGCUGUCACCUUGGACCAAGCAGGAAGGCUGCAGACUUCUAAGCUUGCUUUCUCAUGGCCUUCUGAGGUACAGGGGGUGCCAGGCAAGGGCUGGGGAGGGAAGAAGACACUUCCCUUUUCAACUUGAUGGGGAGCAGUGCCUCUCUUAUCUUGGGGGGCUCUGAGAGGCUCAGAGAUCAGAAAAGUGCGAAGUCACAGCACGGAGAUGCCCCCUGAGCCACGCUGGGGCCUUAGCUUCUUGUCCAGCAGUAAUCUGGUAUGGGGGUGGGGGCUGCUGGACCCCAAAACUCCUGGGUGCAAGCAAUCCUCUUGCCUCCAAAGUGGCUGGGGUGGAGCCACAGAUCUCUUGUAAGCAUGCACACUAUACUCAGCUUGAUGUAAUUUGGGAGAUUGGGUUGGGUUUUUUGUUGUCUUUGAGACAGGGCCUGUACGCAUUCCUGUCUGGCCUGGAACUCUAUACAGAGGUGAGGCUGGCCUGGUACUUGGAGUACCUGCCUGUUGCUUCUAUGCAUUUGAAUGACAGAUAUGCGCUAGCACACCUGACUUACUGUAGUUUCUUGGAUUUUGUUUGUUGUUGCUAUUUGGUUUGUUUGGGACAAAUUUUUGCUGCUGUCGUCCAGGACAGCCUAAAACUCAUGACAAUCCUUCUGCCUCUGCCUUCCAAGACUGAAACUGCAGACAUGUACCACUCUGCCUGGUUUGCAGUAAAUUU